GGGUUAGUAACUUAAUUGGUAAAGAGUUUUCUUGUCACGAAAACAGAUGCCGGAUCGAGACCGGUCUAACUCG
rnacentral:tRNA from 1 species